CCCCGGCGCCACAAGUGGUUAUCACGAUUAUUGGGCCUAAAGCGUUCGUAGCCGGUUUGGUACAUCUCUUGUGAAAGUUGUUCGGCUUAACCGGACAGCGUGCAGGAGACACGGCCAAACUCGAGACCGGGAGGCGUAAGAAGUAUUCCAUGGGGACUGGUAAAAUGGGAUAAUCCAUGGAAGACUACCGAUGGCGAAGGCAUCGUUACGAGAACGGAUCUGACGGUAGAGGAACGAAAGCCAGGGAGCGAACCGG
rnacentral:rRNA from 1 species